rnacentral:rRNA from 1 species
CCUACGGGUGGCAGCAGGGGGGAAUAGUGCACAAUGGGGGAAACCCUGAUGCAGCGACGCCGCGGGAGGGAAGAAGGAGCUCGGUAUGGAAAGCUCUAGCAGCAGGGAAGAAAAUGACGGUACCUGACUAAGAAGCCCCGGCUAACUACGUGCCAGCAGCCGCGGUAAUACGUAGGGGGCAAGCGUUAUCCGGAUGUACUGGGUGUAAAGGGAGCGUAGGCGGCGCGGCAAGUCUGAUGUGAAAGCCCGGGGCUCAACCCCGGGACUGCAUUUGAAACUGUCGGGCUGGAGUGUCGGAGGGGCAAGUGGAAUUCCUAGUGUAGCGGUGAAAUGCGUAGAUAUUAGGAGGAACACCAGUGGCGAAGGCGGCUUGCUGGACGGCAACUGACGCUGAGGCUCGAAAGCGUGGGGAGCAAACAGGAUUAGAUACCCGAGUAGUC